rnacentral:tRNA from 1 species
GAGGCAUAGCUCAGCUGGUUAGAGCGUUCGCUUCACACGCGAGAGGUCAUGAGUUCGAGUCUCUUUGUCUCC